rnacentral:rRNA from 1 species
UACCUGGUUGAUCCUGCCAGUAGUCAUAUGCUUGUCUCAAAGAUUAAGCCAUGCAUGUCUCAGUACACGCUUUAUCAUGGUGAAACCGCGAAUUGCUCAUUAAAUCAGCUAUCAUUUAUUUGAUCAAACUGAAACACGGAUAACUGUAGUAAUUCUAGAGCUAAUACGUUCCAACAUGCCUUGACUCACGAAAAGGUGGAUUUAUUAGAUCAAAACCAAUCGUGGUAACACGUUUGUAUUGAUGACUCUGGAUAACUUUACUACUCGAGCGACACUAGUUGUCGAUGUAUCAUUCAAAUGUCUGCCCUAUCAACUUUCGAUGGUACGUGAUAUGCCUACCAUGGUUAUAACGGGUAACGGGGAAUCAGGGUUUGAUUCCGGAGAGGCAGCCUGAGAAACGGCUACCACAUCCAAGGAAGGCAGCAGGCGCGUAAAUUACCCACUCCUAGAUCAGGGAGGUAGUGACGAAAAAUAACAAUGCGGGACUCUUUAGAGGCUCCGUAAUUGGAAUGAGUACAGUUUAAAUCCUUUAACUAGGAUCAAUUGGAGGGCAAGUCUGGUGCCAGCAGCCGCGGUAAUUCCAGCUCCAAUAGCGUAUAUUAAAGUUGUUGCAGUUAAAAAGCUCGUAGUUGGAUUAUGGAACUUGAGUGAGUGGUACAUUUUAUAAAUGAUACUACCGACUCUGCCUAUCACGCCGUUGCACAUUUUGAAUGAUCUUUGUUGAUUGUUCUUAGUGGCCGGCAAGUUUACUUUGAAAAAAUUAGAGUGCUCAAAGCAGGCGAAAGUCUGAAUAAUGUUGCAUGGAAUAAUGAAAUAGGACUUCGUUUCUAUUUUGUUGGUUUUCUGAAAUGAGGAAAUGAUUAACAGAGACAGUCGGGGGCAUUUGUAUGCUGGCGUUAGAGGUGAAAUUCUUAGAUCGUCGGCAGACAAUCAACUGCGAAAGCAUUUGCCAAGNNNNNNNNNNNNNNNNNNNNNNNNNNNNNNAAGGUUCGAAGACGAUCAGAUACCGUCCUAGUUCUGACCGUAAACUAUGCCAACUGACGAUUCGUGAUGGUAUUUAAACUUUCCUCACGAGCAGUCUCCGCGAAASCGAAGUUUAUSGUUUCCGGGGGAAGUAUGGUUGCAAAUCUGGAACUUAAAGGAAUUGACGGAAGGGCACCACCAGGAGUGGAGCCUGCGCUUAAUUUGACUCAACACGGAAAACUCACCCGACCCGGACACUGUAAGGAUUGACAGAUUAAUAGCUCUUUCUUGAUUCGGUGGAUGGUGGUGCAUGGCCGUUCUUAGUUGGUGGAGCGAUUUGUCUGGUUAAUUCCGAUAACGAACGAGACUCUAGCCUACUAACUAGUACACCUACGUUUUGGCAUAUAGGUGAUAUAUACUUCUUAGAGGACAAUCGCUUUUAGCCGACCGAAAUUGAGCAAUAACAGGUCUGUGAUGCCCUUAGAUGUUCGGGGCGCACGCGCGCUACACUGACGUUCACAGCGAGUAAAAUCCUGGUUCGAAAGGACUGGGGAACCUGCUGAAUGGACGUCGUGACAGGGAUUGGGGAUUGCAAUUGUUCCCCAUGAACGAGGAAUUCCUAGUAAGGACAAGUCAUCAGCUUGUGCUGAUUAUGUCCCUGCCCUUUGUACACACCGCCCGUCGCUACUACCGAUUGAAUGGUUUAGUGAGGUUAUUGGACUGGAAGCGUUGAGUUGGAAACUUCUCGACGUUUCCGGGAAGAUAAUCAAACUUGAUCAUUUAGAGA